AGGGUUUCUCGCACUAUACACAAACUCUGUAUUUGAAGCCAAAGACCUGAGCCCUUUCACUCUCUUACAAACUCUUCAACCUUACAUAGCUCAUCUAUAUGAAAUUAGCCAGCCUAUCUGUCCCUGUUUAGGUAGAUAUGCAGUAGAUGAAACUAGUUCCUGAGCCUCGACUCGCCCAGGAGAGCUCCGUGCCGCCACCGCCAGUCGGGUCUUGCUCGGACUACGUGUACAGGUGGAAAGAAAUUGCCAAAUUGUCCUCACAUGUGGUAGAAAUUUGGUCUUUUGAUGCUGGCAGUGAGUAGUGCAAUCAAUAAAGAAGGCAUUGAGCAGUCUUUGAGUGUCCUAAAGUGAAUAGCGAGGUGGUGAGAAGGCGAGGAAGUCAAAGAACCGCGGGGAUUUGGCGGCCGGUCAUAAGGUAAGUAAGGAAGCACAGCUGCAGCUUGACAGUGAGGCUCGAGUUGGGAAGUGGAGGCCGUCCUUCCAGCAAGCAAGCAAGCGCUGUUCGGCGGCCUGGCCUGGCCUGAUACACUUGCUGAGGAAGAGCUCAUGGGGUGUUACCGGCCAGAAGUCUGCUUUAGAAAGUCGGCGGAUGGUUUUCCGAUAGUAAGAAGUGACCGCGGUAAUCGCUGUAUGUCUGCGUUUUAAAAAUUCGGCACUAUGGUUUAUUGUUAUUUCCAAAUGAUGGUUGCAGCAUCGCACCUCCUAUGCAGCUUCUGACCUUUGCGUUACAUGGCAACAGGAUUCUUUCAGCUGAAUAUUGCAGGUUGUUUGGAAAUGUCAGUGGCGUCAGUUUUCAGAUAGCUAUCGUAUGUCGCAAGAGCCAUAGCAGCACUAGCAUUGGUUUUUAGCAUUGUUUAAUUACAGGAGACAAGGCUCUUUUUAUGUUGUAUGAUCUCAUUUUUUUGUUUUUUUCCCCACGGAAAUGCAUCUUUAUGCAUACAUAUUUCGAGUUGUCAAGGUAACAGGAAAUGUUUGUAAAUAGAUUAUUAGCUGUCGUUGAUGUCAGAAACCAUUUUGCUUUGCAUUGCUUUUCAGAUGUUUUUAUUUCUGUCUGUAAAUGUUUAGUUAUCUUUGAAUUUUUGACAGAACAUUGUAAUAUAUUUGAAGGAGUGUAAUAAAAGUUUGAUACACGC